rnacentral:rRNA from 1 species
GAUGAACGCUGGCGGCGUGCCUAAUACAUGCAAGUCGAGCGAACAGACGAGGAGCUUGCUCCUCUGACGUUAGCGGCGAACGGGUGAGUAACACGUGGAUAACCUACCUAUAAGACUGGGAUAACUUCGGGAAACCGGAGCUAAUACCGGAUAAUAUAUUGAACCGCAUGGUUCAAUAGUGAAGGACGGUUUUGCUGUCACUUAUAGAUGGAUCCGCGCCGCAUUAGCUAGUUGGUAAGGUAACGGCUUACCAAGGCAACGAUGCGUAGCCGACCUGAGAGGGUGAUCGGCCACACUGGAACUGAGACACGGUCCAGACUCCUACGGGAGGCAGCAGUAGGGAAUCUUCCGCAAUGGGCGAAAGCCUGACGGAGCAACGCCGCGUGAGUGAUGAAGGUCUUCGGAUCGUAAAACUCUGUUAUUAGGGAAGAACAAAUGUGUAAGUAACUAUGCACGUCUUGACGGUACCUAAUCAGAAAGCCACGGCUAACUACGUG